UACGUAGGGGGCAAGCGUUGUCCGGAUUUACUGGGCGUAAAGAGCGUGUAGGCGGCCAAACAGGUCCGUUGUGAAAACUGGAGGCUCAGCCUCCAGACGUCGACGGAAACCGUGUGGCUAGAGUCCGGAAGAGGAGAGUGGAAUUCCUGGUGUAGCGGUGAAAUGCGCAGAUAUCAGGAAGAACACCAAUGGCGAAGGCAGCUCUCUGGGACGGUACUGACGCUGAGACGCGAAAGCGUGGGGAGCGAACAGG
rnacentral:rRNA from 1 species